UACGGGGGGAGCAAGCGUUGUUCGGAUUUACUGGGCGUAAAGGGCGCGUAGGCGGCCACCGCAAGUCAAUUGUGAAAUCUCCGGGCUUAACUCGGAAAGGUCAACUGAUACUGCGGGGCUAGAGUGCGGAAGGGGCAACUGGAAUUCUCGGUGUAGCGGUGAAAUGCGUAGAUAUCUGGAGGAACACCGGUGGCGAAGGCGGCAUCCUGGACCAUUACUGACACUGAAAAGCGAAAGCCAGGGGAGCAAACGGG
rnacentral:rRNA from 1 species